rnacentral:rRNA from 1 species
CCUACGGGUGGCUGCAGUGGGGAAUAUUGGACAAUGGGCGAAAGCCUGAUCCAGCCAUGCCGCGUGUGUGAAGAAGGCCUUCGGGUUGUAAAGCACUUUCAGUGGGGAAGAAAGCCUUGGGGCUAAUACCCUCGAGGAAGGACAUCACCCACAGAAGAAGCACCGGCUAACUCCGUGCCAGCAGCCGCGGUAAUACGGAGGGUGCGAGCGUUAAUCGGAAUUACUGGGCGUAAAGCGCGCGUAGGCGGUCUGAUAAGUCGGUUGUGAAAGCCCCGGGCUCAACCUGGGAACGGCAUCCGGAACUGUCAGGCUAGAGUGCAGGAGAGGAAGGUAGAAUUCCCGGUGUAGCGGUGAAAUGCGUAGAGAUCGGGAGGAAUACCAGUGGCGAAGGCGGCCUUCUGGACUGACACUGACGCUGAGGUGCGAAAGCGUGGGUAGCAAACAGGAUUAGAUACCCGUGUAGUC